AGUGAACGCUGGCGGUAGGCCUAACACAUGCAAGUCGAACGGCAGCACAGUAAGAGCUUGCUCUUACGGGUGGCGAGUGGCGGACGGGUGAGGAAUACAUCGGAAUCUACUUUUUCGUGGGGGAUAACGUAGGGAAACUUACGCUAAUACCGCAUACGACCUACGGGUGAAAGCAGGGGAUCUUCGGACCUUGCGCGAUUGAAUGAGCCGAUGUCGGAUUAGCUAGUUGGCGGGGUAAGGCCCACCAAGGCGACGAUCCGUAGCUGGUCUGAGAGGAUGAUCAGCCACACUGGAACUGAGACACGGUCCAGACUCCGACGGGAGGCAGCAGUGGGGAAUAUUGGACAAUGGGCGCAAGCCUGAUCCAGCCAUACCGCGUGGGUGAAGAAGGCCUUCGGGUUGUAAAGCCCUUUUGUUGGGAAAGAAAAGCAGCAGGUUAAUACCCCGCUGUUCUGACGGUACCCAAAGAAUAAGCACCGGCUAACUUCGU
rnacentral:rRNA from 1 species